rnacentral:lncRNA from 1 species
CAAGGAGCAACAAGAUCAUCGCUUCAAUUUUAUAAGCCAGAUUGAAUGGUGAUUUUUUCUUUGGUAUGCGAGAAGUCAUUCGAUAUGUUCAUAAAAUCAGAUAUAGCUCUUCCACCCAGAGAUCUUUAGCUUCAUUCAGUCUGAUUUUGAGUUCAUACAAGAUUGUUUGGUUUGUCACUUUCACUUCACCAUUGGAUUAUGGAUGGCCGAC